rnacentral:rRNA from 1 species
GAUGAACGCUGGCGGCGUGCCUAAUACAUGCAAGUCGAGCGAACAGACGAGGAGCUUGCUCCUCUGACGUUAGCGGCGGACGGGUGAGUAACACGUGGAUAACCUACCUAUAAGACUGGGAUAACUUCGGGAAACCGGAGCUAAUACCGGAUAAUAUAUUGAACCGCAUGGUUCAAUAGUGAAAGACGGUUUUGCUGUCACUUAUAGAUGGAUCCGCGCCGCAUUAGCUAGUUGGUAAGGUAACGGCUUACCAAGGCAACGAUGCGUAGCCGACCUGAGAGGGUGAUCGGCCACACUGGAACUGAGACACGGUCCAGACUCCUACGGGAGGCAGCAGUAGGGAAUCUUCCGCAAUGGGCGAGGGCCUGACGGAGCAACGCCGCGUGAGUGAUGAAGGUCUUCGGAUCGUAAAACUCUGUUAUUAGGGAAGAACAAAUGUGUAAGUAACUAUGCACGUCUUGACGGUACCUAAUCAGAAAGCCACGGCUAACUACGUG